CCUUAGUAGCGGCGAGUGAAGCGGCAAGAGCUCAAAUUUGAAAUCUGGCUCCAUUUUGGUGUCCGAAUUGUAAUUUGAAGAGGUAUCUUUGGAAGUAGCUCUCGCAUAUGUUCCUUGGAACAGGACGUCAUAGAGGGUGAGAAUCCCGUACGUGGUGAGUUGUCUACAACCUUGUAAAGUACCUUCGAAGAGUCGAGUUGUUUGGGAAUGCAGCUCUAAGUGGGUGGUAAAUUCCAUCUAAAGCUAAAUAUUGGCGAGAGACCGAUAGCGAACAAGUACAGUGAUGGAAAGAUGAAAAGAACUUUGAAAAGAGAGUGAAAAAGUACGUGAAAUUGCUGAGAGGGAAGCGUUUGAAAUCAGACUUGGUAUUCGGAUAAUCUUUUAGGUUUUUACUAAAGGACCCUUUCUGUUUACUGGGCCAGCAUCAGUGUGGGCGGCAGGAUAAUUGCUUGGUAAUGUAGCUUCUUUUGAAGUGUUAUAGAUCAGGUAGAUACUGCCAGCCUGUACUGAGGACCGCGCAUUUUUUGCUAGGAUGCUGGCGUAAUGAUUUUAAAC
rnacentral:rRNA from 2 species